UCCGCCUUGGAGGCGGCAGUCUCCCAUGAAAGAACAACAUAGGAUGAGGGUUGCGCUCGUUCGCUGACUUAACAGUACACCUCAAGGCACGAGCUGACGACAACCGUGCAGCGCCUGUCUUCGGGUUCCUUGCGGCACUUCCCCGUUUCCGGGAAAUUCCCGAGAUGUCAAGCCUAGGUGAGGUUCUUCGGUUACUAUCGAAUUAAACCCCAUGCUCCACCGCUUGUGUGGGUCCCCGUCUAUUCCUUUGAGUUUUAGUCUUGCGACCGUACUUCCCAGGCGGCGAGCUUACCGCGUUAGCUUGGACACGGAAGGCAAUUGAGAACCUCCCACAUCGAGCUCGCAUCGUUUAGGGCGUGGACUA
rnacentral:misc_RNA from 1 species